AUUUUUGUUGUCUCUACUAAUGGAGUCUGUUUUUUUGCAUUGACAAGCAGUGAAAAUUAAAAUUGCGGUUGGUUUUCGCAGAGUUUUUCUAAGAUAUUCAGUGCUAAGAAAAUGGACCCGGCAGAUUUCCGAAAAAUCCUGGAAGACGAAGCUGAUAGUAUCAGUGACUCAGAAGACUUCUCUAGGGGAAGUUUCGACAAUUUUCUUCCAAGUGAUUGCACUACUUCCAGUGAUAGCGAAGAUUCAGUUGACGAGGAGAAUGGGGAUGCAGACGAGAGAUUCUUACCUAAUGGUGUCUUGAGCUCUAACAGCGGUAACGAUGAUACUGAAAGCGACAUUGAUGACGUCGCUUCGAACCCCGGCGCAUCGAAAAUAAAUAUUAUUUGGAAUACUCCUGAUGAAAAUUUUGUAUCAAAAAAUACUCUUUAUGGACUUCGGGAUUGCACAAUAUCAAACCACAUACCAAGACAUUCAAGUAUAGAUCAGACACGAUACGAAUGAAGUAUUGGUGUUGAGUAAUUGUCACGAACCUUCUGUGACUAAUGUUACAAAAACGUUGAAAACAGGAGAAAAAAUUCUAGUGCAAUGUCCAAGUCAAAUAAAAUUUUAUAGGGAGAUGAUGGAAGGAGUCGACUUGGCUGAUCAGAUGUCUGGGCUUUAUGAAUACGAUAGGAAAUCGGUUUAUCACUUAUUACACGCAGGCCUACAAAUAAACCAAUUUUUAGAAAAAACUUAAUUAAAGUAAUUUUCGGGCCAUUUGUGAAGGGAAGUUAAAAGCUGAGAUAAAAUAAUACAUUAAAUUUGAUAUUAAAUAAAAUUUUAUGCCGAGGUGGCGAUUUUUAAAGCGUUUAUGGUACUGGUAAAUAUAAUUGUAAAUAAAUAAAAAAAAAAAAAUUAAAAAUAAAAAUCAGUAAAUCCAUAUUUUGGCCGUUGAACAAAU